CCCCUACGGGAGGCAGCAGUGGGGGAUAUUGCACAAUGGGGGGAACCCUGAUGCAGCGACGCCGCGUGGGUGAAGAAGCGCCUCGGCGCGUAAAGCCCUGUCAGCAGGGAAGAAAAUGACGGUACCUGAAGAAGAAGCCCCGGCUAACUACGUGCCAGCAGCCGCGGUAAUACGUAGGUGGCAAGCGUUGUCCGGAUUUACUGGGUGUAAAGGGCGUGCAGCCGGGAAGACAAGUCAGAUGUGAAAUCCCGCGGCUCAACCGCGGAACUGCAUUUGAAACUGUUUUUCUUGAGUAUCGGAGAGGU
rnacentral:rRNA from 1 species